rnacentral:rRNA from 1 species
AUGUUAGCUGCUGCGUCCCUAUCUCGCAUCAACAACAUCCGAGCCUCUCUCAUGAAUGCGCAGAAGGGAUCCCAGUCGGCUUCGGCCUACUUCGGGUACAUGAGAUCCCUCUCCGACAAGCUUGCAGCGGCGGGCAAACCGAUCGGGGAGGGAGAACGCAUCUCCUUCGUCGUUGCUGGACUCGACAUGGAGUACCAACCGAUUGUCUCCGUGCUGGAUGUGCGCAUGGGGCCUACCACCAUCGACGCCCUCUUCUCUCUUGUGGCCAACUUCGACCAGAGGGUCGAGAUGUUCCAUGGAAACGGAGCCGGCAGGUUCAAAUCUUCGGCAAACUCCAUCUCCCGCGGCGGCGGGCGACAAGGAGGCAACAAGGGCGGCUACCGCGGCAACACAAACCAGAAGGGCAACGGUGGCGGCCCCCGUGGUGGCCCUGGCUAUGGCGGUGGUGGCCAUCCUAACGGUGGCGGAUCCGGAGGUGGCGGCUGUGGCUACGGUGGAGGUGGCUAUGGUGGCGGCGGCAGCCGCGGCUACCCGAACGGUGGCGCUGGAGGCUACCACCAGAACAACUACGGCGGCGGUGGCGGAUCCUAUCAUGGUGGUGGUGGCGGAGGCUACUAUCACCAGGGGAAUCCCAGCAACAACAACAGUCAACGCUCCUCCUCCAACGGUAACAGGGGCCAAAACUUCCAAGGCUAA